rnacentral:lncRNA from 1 species
UCCUUUAAGCGCUUAAUAAUCCUCCCACCCUCAGCCCCACAGCAUAGUCCAUGUCCUUAAUUUAUGAUAACAUCUGUCUCCCCCCCAGACUGUAAGCUCACUGUAGGCAGGGAACCCGGCUACCAGCUCUAUUGUAUUGAACCUUCCCAACCUCUCAGUAGCUUGCUCUGCACACAGUGAGCACUCAGUAAAUGCCGUUGACGUAUUGGAGAACAAAUCAAUCAGUGGUAUUUAUUGAGCGCUUACUAUGUGCAGAGCACUGUACUGAACACUUGAGAAAGUACAACAGAAUUAGCAGACACAUUCCCUGCCUAUAUUGAAACUACAACAGCUUGGUUGAAACAAGGAACUCUGCCUCCAUUCUGCAGUGUAAACAGGAAUUGGUCAUAUCUAUUCUUUUUUCUCUACUGGACAGACACCCAAACAUAUGGCAUGACAAGUCAAAGCCACUAAAACAUGUUGGGUUAAAGGCAGCUCAGAGAUUAAUACCAUUUUGCAAUAAAACCAGUGCUUCCUUUUCAUCGUCUGCAAUCGUGCUACGCACUGUCCGACCUAAUCGUGCGUCACAGUGUCUUUCAGGGAAAUCCCCAUCCCACGCUGACAACUCUGCUUGUUUAACGAUCCUUCAGGAAACUGUUCUAAGUACUUGAGGAGGAAACCGAUUUAGAGAUUAUCCCUAACUUCUGGGAGAAUACAAUCAACUCUGCUUGAACAAUGCCAUGAGGACCCACUAAAUGACCUCUACCCACAUUACAGACAUUCCUAGGGCAAGCAAGGCUGAAGAACUCCAUGAGGGGACACUGAAGCCUUUGGCCUAUUGGAUAGAGCACGGGCCAGGGAAUAAGAAGCAUCUGGGUUCUAAUCUCGGCUCUGCCACUUGUCUGCUGUGUGACCUCAGGCAAGUCACUUUGCUUCUCUGGGCCUCUGUUACCUCAUCUGGAAAGUGGGGAUUAAAACUGUGAGCCCCGUGUGGGACAGGCACUGUGUUCAACCUGAUUUGCUUGCAUCUACCCCAGUGCUUACUUCAGUGCCUGUCAAAUAGUAAGCACUUAACAAAUACCAUUAUUAUUAUUGUUAAUGCUUUGCUCAAAGUCAUAAAGGGCAUCAGCGGGACAGCCAGGGAUUAAUCAAUCAGUGGUAUUUAUUGAGUGCAGACUCUGAGCGGAGCACUAUACUAAGCGACUGGGAGAGCACAGUACAAUAGAGUUGGUAGACGGAGCUAUGGGCUUCAGUGAUUAAUCCCAGGUUGUCUGCCUCAUUUUCCAGUCCUCCAUUACAUCCUCUUCACCAUCAUAUUCUUGGUGGGCCACACUAAGCUCUGAAAACAGUGCGGCCUAGUGGAUAGAACACAGGCCUAGGAGUCAGAAGACUUGAGUUCUAAUCCCAGAACCACCGCUUGUCUGCUAUGUGACCUUGGGCAAGUCACGUAAUUUCUCUGUGCCUCAGUUCCCUUACCUGUAAUAUGGGAAUUAAGUCUGUGAGCCCCGUGUGGGAGGGGGACUGUGUCCAACCUGAGUAUCUUGUAGCUACUCCUUCCUUAGAACACACAGCACUCAGUACACAGUGUCCCCUCUAGACUGUAAACUUGUUGAAGGCAGGGAUUGUGUCUGUUUAUUAUUAGAUUGUACUCUCCCAAGUGCUUAGUACAGAGCUCUGCACACAGAAAGUGCUCAAUAAAUACGAUCGAAUGAAUGAACAUAGUAAGCACCUAAAUGAAAAAAAAUGGUUAUCCAGGCAUCCUGUUUUCAUUUAUGCACACAUCUGUAAUGAUUUAUUUAUAUUGGUAUCUGUCUCCCCCCCCCCCAUCUUGACUGUAAGCUCAUUGUGGACAGGGAAUGGGUCUGUUUAUUGUUGUAUUGUUCUCUUCCAAAUGCUUAGUUCACUGGACGCAGUAAGCGCUCAAUAAAUACGAUUGAACGAAUGAAUGAAUGAAUGGGUAAGAUCUUCCUCCAGCUUCUCUCCAACCAUCACGGCAGGAUUAGGGGGAAGAGAGAGAGUUAAGCAUGUGAUUCUGGGAAGUAUGUCUAGACAUUCCUACUAUGGGAAUAUUAUGUAAAGCAAAAUCACUGCAACCGUGUCAGUAAUCAAAUUAAUUGCGACGAGGAUGAUCUAAAUUCAUAGUCGUGCAAAUGU